UACGGAGGAUCCGAGCGUUAUCCGGAUUUAUUGGGUUUAAAGGGUGCGCAGGCGGCCUUGCAAGUCAGCGGUCAAAUCGUGGAGCUCAACUCCAUUCCGCCGUUGAUACUGCCGGGCUUGAUUGCGGUUGAGGUUGGCGGAAUUCGUCGUGUAGCGGUGAAAUGCAUAGAUAUGACGAAGAACCCCGAUUGCGUAGGCAGCUGACCAAGCCGUAAAUGACGCUCAUGCACGAAAGUGCGGGGAUCGAACAGG
rnacentral:rRNA from 1 species